CGUCAACGUCCCAAGGUUUUUCAGCGUCAAGAAAGAGGAAUUUGAAUGGGGCAGCAGUGGAUCUACCCCAAUCAGCAUUAACGGGACCCCUGUGGAGAGAGUGAGCAGCUAUGCAAAUGCCCUGCAAAGAGUAGCUGAGCGCAUCUCCAGAACAUCUCUCCCCUCUCUGCAAGAAAUCCACACCAGGAGAUGUAAAUCUAGGGCUGUUAAGAUCCUUGAAGACCCCACACACCCUGGAAAUCUGCUACAGUCAGGCAGACGCUUCUGCAGUCUGAUGGCAAAAACAGAGAGGCUCAGGAGGAGUUUCUUCCCUCAUGCUAUCAGACUACUAAACAUGGACAUUAAACACACUGAACUUUAUAGACUAGUUGUUUAGGGCUACCCAAUAACUCACUGCACACUGCACUUUUUUGACACAACCUAACUAUGCAACUCCUCCUCACUGCACAUUGUUUACAUCUCUGCACAUCAUCUGUGUAGCAGUUUCUGUGUAUCAUCUCUACAAAUAAUCUGGGUAGUAGUUUAAUAGUUUAAUAUUGUGUAUAUUUCAUUAUUUGUAUUUAAUUAUCUCCCCCCAAAAAAAACUUUUUAUUUUUUUCCUGUUGUUUCAUUAUUUGUAUUUAAAUUUUCUCUUAUUUUUUGCACAGUCUAAAAAGAGUAUGCCAGACCUAUAUUUCACUGCUUUUUGCAUGUCAUAUAACAAAUGAAACUUGAAUUUUGAAUGGU